rnacentral:rRNA from 1 species
CUACGGGUGGCUGCAGUGGGGAAUAUUGGACAAUGGGCGAAAGCCUGAUCCAGCCAUGCCGCGUGUGUGAAGAAGGCCUUCGGGUUGUAAAGCACUUUCAGUGGGGAAGAAAGCCUUGGGGCUAAUACCCUCGAGGAAGGACAUCACCCACAGAAGAAGCACCGGCUAACUCCGUGCCAGCAGCCGCGGUAAUACGGAGGGGGCGAGCGUUAAUCGGAAUUACUGGGCGUAAAGCGCGCGUAGGCGGUCUGAUAAGCCGGUUGUGAAAGCCCCGGGCUCAACCUGGGAACGGCAUCCGGAACUGUCAGGCUAGAGUGCAGGAGAGGAAGGUAGAAUUCCCGGUGUAGCGGUGAAAUGCGUAGAGAUCGGGAGGAAUACCAGUGGCGAAGGCGGCCUUCUGGACUGACACUGACGCUGAGGUGCGAAAGCGUGGGUAGCAAACAGGAUUAGAUACCCUAGUAGUC